GCGGUGCCGGGAGGGGAGGCGACGGCCGCUCCAGGGUGGCGCGAGCCCCGGCCGCACGGCACAGGCCAAGUGCCUUCGAGGCGCCGGGCGUUCAGGACGAGGCGCAAGAGAGGCCACACCCGAGGUCUUCACGACACACGCGAACCUCCGGGACAUUAUGAAUUCACCCCGCAAGCACAGACCCGGCACGACGGGUAUUGCAGGAAAACAAGAACUUUCCUUCCUCGGCCCCAACUAAGAACGUAAGCCGUGUGCAUCCGCGAAGCUGUUGCAGCUGCAGCCUCUGUGGCUUCUGGCCGGAGCCACUGUCAGAAUGAACAAGGCCCAGGCCCGCCCUGCUCUCCUCCUUACCGAUGUACUGGGCGGACGUAGAUGAUACUCAGCUGACAGUGUCAAGAAAUACCACAGAAUUUAACUCCUGACCUUGAUCAUCUGCACAAUGAUUACCAAAGGAGAAAAAUAAGCUGCUUUUGUUUUUGUUUUUCUUCUCUUGAAUUUACACCACCAGCCCAGCUGUAGAGGAAAAGAAGCCUGUAAUUAUAUUCAGACAAUCAGGGUUCAAUUCUUGGUUCUGACUUAUUGCUGUACAAUCACAGGCAAGUUGGGUCACCUCCAAAAAAUCAGUUUCUUCACAUGUAAAAUAAAGGUGAUGACAACGCCUACCUCAA